UUGAGGUAGUAACCAUCAGAAAAAGUUUGUUUCUACACACUAGAAACAAAGCCUAGUAUGGAGUAUUUGAGAGUUGAAUUACAUUCAUUUUGGUUUUCAAAUAAUCUCAAAUCAUGUCAGUCUAAACAAGGAUACAAUGCUAAUAACUGUAACUUCUUAAACACCAACCAUUCAUCUCAUGAUCCAUACUAACAUAUCAAUUUUCUAUUGAUAUGAAACAUUGAUUCAAUGUUUUAACUACAGAUUACUCUCUGCAGUAAUUCUCCUUCAGAGUAACUUCAGAAAACAGGAUUGACGAAAUGCUUUCUAAUAAGCCGUCUCUGAUAUUUACUUAGAUUUGAGUUUUGAUUAAAUACUUUUCUACAUAUUUAUUACAUCAUUCCCAUGUGUUUCUUGUGUAAACUCUCAUGUUUUCUGGUGUAUGUUUACGACAAAUCUCUUCCAUCACUUGUUUUAUUACUAUGUGUACUCUCAAAUGUCUAGUGAGAUGACCGCUCUGAUUAAAGCCUUUGCCACAUUCCUUUCAUUUGUAAGGCUUUUCUCUAGAAUGAAUUACCUGAUGUUCAGUAAGACUUGAGCAGCAAGUAAUGACUUCACUGCAUUUGUUAAAUUGGUUGGACUUCCCAGUAUGAAGUCGCUGAUGAUGAUUAAGACUUGAGUUCUGUUUAAAGGCUUUGCCGCACUUUGUACAUUUAUAAGGCUUCUCUUCAGUGUGAACUCGCUGAUGUCGAGUAAGACUUGAGCUACAGUUAAAGGCUUUGUCACAUACCUUACAUUUAUAAGGUUUCUGGCCGGUAUGGAUUCGUUGAUGUUGUGUAAGAUCAGUGCCACGCAUAAAGCCUUUGCCGCACUCUGUACAUUUGAAAGGUUUCCUUCCUGAAUGGAUUUUCCUAUGUCUACUUAGAUAGGAUGAGUUAGUAAAGACUUUCCCACAUAUAUUACAUUUGUUCUCUUUCCGUGGAUUCUGAAUCCUCUGCUGUCGAGUAAGAUCUGAAGACGGAUCAGAAACUUUCCGGGG
ensembl:lncRNA